AACCUUAUGGACCUGCGGGCGUAUACCUGCGGAAGGAUCAUUAUUGAAUUAUGUUUCUAGAUGGGUUGUCGCUGGCUCUUCGGAGCAUGUGCACGCCUGUUUAGAUUUCAUUUUCAUCCACCUGUGCACCUAUUGUAGUCUUCGGUUGGGUAUAGAGGAAGUGGUCAGCCUAUCAGCAUUUGCUGGAUAUGAGGAGUGCAGUGUGAAAACAUUGCUGUCCUCAACUUGGCCAUGGAGUCU
rnacentral:misc_RNA from 1 species